UUGUCAAUUUAAAAAUAUGUAUAUAUUUAAUUAUUCAUUGGCUACCAGUAUGCACUUAUUUGUAGUUGAAAAAUAAAAGAAGUAUGAGGUCAAUUUGAUACAUCCCGAUGUGAAACGUACAUGAUGCUAGUUGAAUCCGUGUAAAAACCAGUGAGUAAUAUAAAUUUGGAAACGGUCAACUGUGAACGUUUCUUAAUUAAAAAACUGUUAAGAAUGCAGGAUUUGUAGCUUUGAUUCUUGAAGAACACAGAUGUAGGAAAUAAUAUUUCAAUAAGCUCAGUAUAUUUUCCACCGCAAUAAUAAUUUUAAAGUACUAGUGAUAUCUAAACAAUUCUUUUACGUGGUCUCUUUCGAGUAAUUAAUCAAAGUGUUUUACAUUAUUUUAUUGCUCCAAUCAAUAGCCUCAAUCUUCUUCCACUGUCAAUCUAGCAAAAUAAUCGUCCUCUUAACCUUUUAUAUUUGUUCGCAA